GACUGAGAGGAUGGGGAGGGGCCAGGGUAGGGCUGCAUAGAGUACUGUUCUCUCCUUAGGUCCAAUGCUCUGCUCCCGACCACCACUCUGGAGGUCGUCCAUAGCAUGCCAAGGUCACAGUGUGAUAUGUAGGAGCUGUGGCUUCCACUGCCCUGUCAUUUUCAUUCUUGGGUUUGGCAGCUCUCAACUCUGUGAGCAGCUCUUGGCUCAUCCCAUCAUGGGGAUUCGGCAUUCAGAGUCUCCCAGAGGCCCCGGGAGACAGCAACGUGGAGGCUGCAGGCACCAAAAGGAGUUUUCCUGGCACAGAAUUCUGGCAGAAGAAAACUGAAGUGAUUUCCGACUCGAGGCCCGGGGAGGAGCCACCUGGGGCACUGAAAUCCAGGCUCAGCUCUUUCUGUAUAAAUUAAGGAUUUAAAGAAAUUCUCCCCAACCAGACGCAGUGGAAGACAACUGCGGCCUCUGCUGGUUUCAAUAGAAACUCGAGUUCAACGAAUUGCAAUGUGCUGAAAUUGCUCAGACCGAAGACCAAGCCAAGAAGGGCUAGCUCGCGCUUAAAUUCCUUUAAAUUCCUUUCAUCCGGUGCAGAAGAGGAUGCCGCGGGGGUGCGAGCAGCAAGGACGCGGUUCGCAGCCUUGCCAACCCCAGCUCACCCUACCAACCCUACCAACCCCAGCUCACCGGAGGACAGGGAGGGACCCGCGAGUCCUGAGCGAGGAAGGUGGCCAAGGAUGGCAUGCCCUAUUGCGGUGUCGGGGAAGCUAUGCAGUAGACUCGUGUCUCUGAGCCGAGAGCUGGGACACAUCUGCGGCUUGCAAUGGCCUAGUGUAGGAGGGUUGCCGGGACCUUUCCCUCCUGUGCAAGGUCAGGGGUGUGAACGGGAAAGAAAAUGGAUCCUACUGUGGACUAAAGAGAAAGGUCCCACCGAGAUUUGAACUCGGAUCGCUGGAUUCAGAGUCCAGAGUGCUCACCAUUACACCAUGGAACCACACAAUUGGUAGCACUCUGACUCACUAUAGGUGACCAAAUCCAUUCUCAGCCCCAAUCAUAUCCCACAGUUUCUUCCGCAGGCACUUUUCCUAUAGUCAGGUAGGAUCAGAGCACCCUCAAUUCACAACCAGGAGAAUCGCCCGCGCUCAACGUUCGUUCUGUUCAGUACUUGGCGUGAGGAGUACAGUGGGAGAGAGACAUGUCUCUCAGAGAAUGAGAAAGUGGAUUUAACACUUUAGAAUCCGGGAAGUGAACGCCGGCUCUUCCUAGAUUGCUGGUGUCUUGUUCUAACAUACAAUCCUUCCCCGCCCCUCCCCCGCCCCCGGAAAAAGGUUUCCUUAUUUUGCUUUGCAGUUUUCUUCCUGUUGUCCAGAUCCGCAUCCCCUAGUUUCUCCUCCAGCCCCUCCCUCUUUUCCGCUCCCCCACUCUUUGUCUCUCUCUUUCCUGCUCCCACUUUCGUCUCCCAUGCUCAGCCCAGGUCAUAAGAUCACGGAGAAGUUGCAGAAAGCAAGGUGAGGGAACGUUCACCCAGGCGAGGAGCAUCAUUGCUUCUUGGGUCAGAACGCCGCCGCCGUGGGAGUCUUUCCAAGACACAGAGCAAAACGCCCCGGGCAGCCCUCGGGACCGGGCGGCAUUGGCCUUAGGUGAGGCUGAGUACUGGGCAAAUCCAGAGCUGGGGACUCUGUGACACUUCCCGGAAUCGCUGAGACCUGAGAAAAUGCUGGGGCACAGUGAACCUUUCCUGCAGGGUUCCUGAGAGAAACUGGUGGCAGUUCCUCUCAACGCCCUUCGUGGCUACCUCAGCGCCGUUUACAGAGAGGAGCCAGCGGGGCCUGCGAUGGGGAGAAUUCUGGGUGACACCUUAAAAUGAAAAGUUUAGCAAACUAUGGCUGAGUUCGAUGGACGAGGGAGAUAUGUAUUUCCUUCAGGCAGCAAGUGGCAGCAAGUGGCAGCUGAGACAGCACCUACAUCUUCCUAUCCAGAAUGUGGGUUGUUCCCCACAUCUAGGGCCUGAGGUCACCGGAAGAUGCACUGUGUCACAGAGGGCUGCAGCUAGAGCCUCUUCCCUCGCCUGUCCAUGUGCCUUCUGCUGUGAAGAUCCUGCCUUGGCUCAGGCUAAAAGCAAUGGCGCAGCCAACCAUGGGCAGGAACCUCUGAGUUCACAAGACCGAAUAAACCUUUCCAUGCUCAAGUUGUUUCUCUCUCUCUCUCUCUCUCUCUCUCUCUCUCUCUCUCUCUCUCUCUCUCUCUCUCU